rnacentral:rRNA from 1 species
UACGUAGGGGGCAAGCGUUAUCUGGAUUUACUGGGUGUAAAGGGAGCGUAGACGGCAGAGCAAGUCUGAAGUGAAAGCCCGCGGCCCAACUGCGGGACUGCUUUGGAAACUGCCCGGCUAGAGUGCUGGAGAGGUAAGCGGAAUUCCUAGUGUAGCGGUGAAAUGCGUAGAUAUUAGGAGGAACACCAGUGGCGAAGGCGGCUUACUGGACAGUAACUGACGUUGAGGCUCGAAAGCGUGGGGAGCAAACAGG